rnacentral:lncRNA from 1 species
CUGGCAGUGGCAAUCCUCUCCGGUCCCCUUCCGGGCUGUGGGAGCUUUGUUCUUUUGCUCUUUGCAAUAAAUCUUGCUGCUGCUCGCUCUUUGGGUCCACAUUGCCUUUGUGAGCUGUAACACUCACGGCGAAGGUCUGCAGCUUCACUCCUAAAGCCAGAGAGACCACAAACCCACCGGGAGGAACGAACAACUCCAGACGCGCGGCCUUAAGAGCUGUAACACUCACCGCGAAAGUCUGCAGCUUCACUCCUAAAGCCAGCGAGACCACGAACCCACCAGGAGGAACGAACAAUUCCAGAUGCGCCGCCUUAGGAGCUGUAACACUCACCGCGAAGAUCUGCAGCUUCACUCCUGAGCCGGCGAGACCACGAACCCCACCAGAAGGAAGAAACUCCGGACACGCCGCCUUUAAGAACUAUAACACUCACGGCGAGGGUCCACGGCUUCAUUCUUGAAGUCAGUGAAACCAAGAACCCACCAAUUCCGGACACAGCAGGAUCCCACCCACAGAACCGCCAGGUGCACAGCUGCAUAUCCUCAGGGGAAAACUCCCCUCCCCUGCCACCUUACUGAUAGGCUUCACUUCCCAGAGAACUUUCCCAAUCCUGUGCAAUGCCUGAGUGGUACAUUGUAUUCUAUGAGAAUGGCGCCCCCGCCUCCAGAGUUGUGCAACAAGACUUCCAUGAAUCAAAGCCCAUCGCUGGCUGCCUCCUCUAGCCCUGCAUAGCCCAGGUACAUCUGAAAGGAGUGAGAAGUGUUUUGAGGGCUCUCCCUGUCUCUUCCUGCACCUCUCUCUUGUGAUCCCAGAAGCUACAACCUCAGCCCAGAUUAGCAGGCUGAGGGGUCAGGAGGCUGUCACUGGAGCUGUUGAGCUCAUGAACACGCCGAAGUUGCUGCGCUCCAGAAAUGUGGAAGUUGGAAUGAAGAGCCACCACUGCUGCCACCAACAUGAAGCUUGACCAAGCAAGCCAAGAAAAGAUGGCCAAGAGCCUCUGCCUUCCUUCUGCCUUCUGCAACGCAAUGAGAAGGCUACUUGGACCUAAAGGAAUGAAUUAGGAAGCGGUCUACUACCAAAGUACAAUGAAGGUCAGUUUUCUUCAUACCUUAAUAUGAAAAACGUUUUAAAAUGUCUCAAUUUCCCUAUGCUAACCUCUGGUCACAGAGGCUUGAGGGCUUCCUAUAGUACCAAAGUAUGACUUGCCAGUUAAAAAGAAAACGAAUUCUUGCCCCCAGGGGUAAAGAUAACAAAUUUAGAACACUAUGACAUACAUCUAUUAAUAUUUGCAGAAGGAGUAUAUGUUGUUACAUUAACAUACAGAAAUUGCAUAGUUGAUCCAGAGGGAAGUCUGGAGAGUACAGGGAUGGAAAAAAGGAGGAGGAUGGAAAAGAAUGGGAACUAAAACUUAGGUGACUACGUUAAGGAUUACCCAUGAGAGCAAGACACAGGAUAAAGUACUGAAAACAAAAAAAAAAACUUAAUGUAACCACUUAUUUGAAUAAAUUGAUUCAUAUGAAUCCAAUUUGAUAGAUAAAAAAAGAUCAAAUUUGAUAAUACCCAGGAAAAUAUAGUACCUAUAUCUGAGUUAUCUCAAUUUAUCUCAACUACCUCAUUGGCAAAAAGAUUCUCUCUCCUAUCACUAAAAACUAAUUUCUUUUUUUUUUUAAAAGGGCUCAAGGGCAGUGACUGCCCCACUCCACCACAGAGUGGGAGAGGGCUGGACCCCAGUGCCACUUUCGGCCACCCCUGGGCCACACGGCCACCCCUAUCCCUGGGACAGGGACUGCAGGGUCACACCCUCAAACAACCACGCCUCAGCCAUACUCGCGCCACACUUUCCAAGCCUGUCCCAGACCAGGGACAAGCCCCUAGUAGGGUUGGGGGAGGAGACUAGAACUAGAGAGGUGGGACACCAAGCAUGGGCACCCCUGCAACCUCGGCCACCCCCAGCAUGGCACCAUGCCCCUGAGCACCGCCAGCUUGGAAAGGCAUCGGAUGGAGACGGGCGCUUUUCGACGAGAUACCCGCCACUUGCUCUGGGAUCCCGGAGAGGGUGGGCAAGCGUGGACCAGGGAAGGAGGCCCCCAGGGGUGUUGGGAGGGAGUUUGAGAGGGAGGAAGUAAGAGAGACGGAUGGCAACGGAGACGCCAGGCAUGCGCGAGGGGGUGGACAAACCCUGUGUCCAGGGCUGACUUUGAAUAGAUGGCAGGGAGGGAGCUGCUCUGCUAUGUAUGAAACCACGACCUAAAAACUAAUUUCUGUAAGAUACACCAUAAAGGUAAAAAUAAUGCAAGUGUUCAGCUGACAGUAAGUAUAAAUGGUACUCAUUUUCAUUCUUAGCUGGUUCUGACCUUUAGCGAUCCAUAGAAAGUACAUUCAUGAAAAUAACCAGUUUUAAGCACACAAACAAUAAAAGCAUAUACACUUGAUAUAAAAUGGCCGUAAGUCAAGUAUUUUCAAAAUGUUUGAUUUCAGAACCUUUGAUGGUUCAUUAAGAUAGCAUAAAAACAACCUUCAGAAGAAAGGAAUAAGCUGAUAUACCCAGCAUCAUAUCUGAUGACACCUUACAACUCAAACAGGGCUUAGACAUUUUUAUCUUUUUUAAAAAUGCACUCUUAUAGCCUGGUGUGGUGGCUUAUGCCUGUAAUCCCAAUACUUUGGGAGGUCAAGGCAGGAAAACUGCUUCAGGCCAGCCUGGGCAACACAGCAAGACCCCACCUCUACAAAAAUUCUUUUAAAAAUUAGCCAGGCUUGGUGGCACAUGCCUUUCCUAGCUACUGGAGACGAUGACGGUGGAGGAUGGCUUGAACCCAGGAGCUCUAUGUUACAAUGAGCUAUGACUGCCCUGCCACUGAACUCUA